UCUGACAAUAAUGAGACACUUAUCUUCACUGUGAAGUGUUCGAUAAUGAGAAUUUUGCUAUUCUUAAAGAUCUAAGCCAGA